rnacentral:rRNA from 1 species
GAUGAACGCUGGCGGCGUGCCUAAUACAUGCAAGUCGAGCGAACGGACCAGACGCUUGCUUCUCUGAUGUUAGCGGCGGACGGGUGAGUCACACGUGGAUAACCUCCCUAUCAGACUGGGAUAACUUCGGGAAACCGGCGCUAAUACCGGAUAAUCUUUUGAACCGCAUGGUUCAAAAGUGAAAGACGGUCUUGCUGUCACUUAUAGAUGGAUCCGCGCUGCUUUAGCUAGUUGGUACGGUAACGGCUUACCAAGGCAAGGAUGCAUAGCCGACCUGAGAGGGUGAUCGGCGACACUGGAACUGAGACACGGUCCAGACUCCUACGGGAGGCAGCAGUAGGGAAUCUUCCGCAAUGGGCGAAAGCCUGACGGAGUAACGCCGCGUGAGUGAUGAAGGUCUUCGGAUCGUAAAACUCUGUUAUUAGGGAAGAACAGAUGUGUAAGGAACUGUGCACAUCGUGACGGUACCUAAUCAGAAAGCCACGGCUAACUACGUG